CAGGCUACGGCGAGGAAGCCGCCUGGUGGAUGGCUCGGCUCGGGCGCCGAGGAAGGCCGUGGCAAGCUGCGAUAAGCCCGGGGUAGGCGCAGGCAGCCGUCGAACCCGGGAUCGCCUAAUGGGACCUCCUGCCACGGGCUUUAAGCCCGUGGCGCCCGGGAAACCGUCGAGGGAGUACCGGGCGGGAACCCCCCGAACGGAAACAUCUUAGUAGGGGGAGGAAGAGAAAUCAAACUGAGAUCCCCUGAGUAGGGGCGACCGAAAGGGGGAGAGCCCAAACCAAACCCCCACGGGACGACCGUGGGGGGAUGUGGGGUUACCGGCUCCACGGCUAGGGGUUCGACCCCGAGCGGGCCUACCCACGGUAGCCGAAGUGGCCUGGAAUGGCCCGCCGUAGAGGGUGACAGCCCCGUAGGCGAAACCGUGGGGGCUCGCGCCGUGGAGCAGAGUACCACGGCUUGGUUGUGCCGUGGGAAGUAGGGGGUCACCGACCUCCAAGGCUAAACACGUCCCGAGACCGAUAGCGAACUUAGUACCGUGAGGGAAAGCUGAAAAGCACCCCGCAAGGGGGGUGAAAAGAGCCUGAAACCAGGCGGCUACAUACGGCGCUGCCCUAAAGAGGUGACGCCCCCGAAGGAAACCGGGGCGACCCGGGAGUACGAGGGGGGUUGAUCAGGGUGGCGCCGUCCGUCUUGAAACACGGGCCGGGGAGUCCACGGCAGUGGCGAGCUUAAGGGGUUAAACCCCGUAGGCGUAGGGAAACCGACAUGCCCGCAACCACGGUUAAGCCGUGGCGAGGGGCGGGGUCCCAAAGGGCCCGGAGUCACUGCCGUGGGACCAGAAACCGGGCGAUCUAGGCGGGGGCAGGGUGAAGCCGGGGGAAACCCCGGUGGAGGCCCGAAAGGGUUCUGACGUGCAAUUCGUUCCCAUGACCCCCGUCUAGGGGCAAAAGACCAAUCAAGCCCGGUGAUAGCUGGUUCCCGCCGAAGUGGGUCUCAGCCCAGCCCCGCCUGAGGUGGGCCACGGGGUAGAGCUACGGAUUGGGGGUGCAGGAGCCGAAAGGCUCCGGCCUCCAGUCCAACUCCGAACCCGUGGUCACCGUAGAAGGCGGGAGUGGGGUUCCCCGCCGUAAGGGUGGGGGCCGAGAGGGGAACAACCCAGACCGGGGUUAAGGCCCCUAAGUGCCGGCUAAGUGCCAAUCUUAAAGGGCGUCCCACGGCUCAGACAGCGGGGAGGUGGGCCUAACAGCAGCCAUCCUCUAAGGAGUGCGUAACAGCUCACCCGCCGAGCCGUGGGGCCCCGAAGAUUGGUCGGGGCUUAAGCCGGCCGCCGAGACCCCGGGGCACGGCCCCUAUGGGGCCGUGAUCUGGUAGGCGGGCGUCGGGUCGGGGCAGAAGCCGGGCCGUGAGGUCCGGUGGACCCGAUCCGAGUGCAGAUCCCGGCGGCAGUAACAGCGAAGAGGGGUGGGAAUCCCCUCCGCCGGAAAGGACCAGGGUUCCUCGGCAACGGUCGUCGGCCGAGGGUUAGCCGGUCCUAACCCGGGCCGUAACUCGGACCCGGGGAAAGGGAAACGGGUUAACACUCCCGUGCCGCGGGGGUAGGCGCGGCAACGCAAGCCCAGCCUCCGACGCCUCCGGAUAGGCGGACUGGGGGCGGUCGAAUGACCGCGACCCAGCUAACCGGUGAAGGCCCCGGAGUACCGUAAUGGUGAGAAGGGGCUGAAGCCGGGAAUGGGGCCCCGUUAGGGGCCUUCCGCCGACUCCGGGGGCCCUUGAAAAGGGGGCUGGGAACGAUCCCCCGCGCCCGUACCGAGAACCGACACAGGUGCUCCUGGGUGAGUAGCCCCAGGCGUGUGGGGGUUAACCCGGGCCAGGGAACUCGGCAAAUUGGCCCCGUAACUUCGGGAGAAGGGGUGCCUGCGGUUCUGGGGCGCACCCCUGGAACCGCAGGUCGCAGUGCCUAGGGGGGCCUGACUGUUUAAUAAAAACAUAGGUCCCCGCUAGCCCGAAAGGGUUUGUACGGGGGCUGAAUCCUGGCCACUGGCGGUCCGUGAAACCGGGGUACAACCCGGCGAAGCGCCGCUGAAGGCCGGGAGUAACUCUGACUCUCUUAACGGGAGAGCCCCAUCGCUUGGCAGGUCGUAGGCUUAUCAGUCCCUGGCUACAAAUUGGCGGUCGGGGGCGUAUAAUUGAGUGGUAAUGAGCUGAUAAACGGCUAUGUGAUCGGGCUAAUAGAUGCCGAGGCCUCGUUUUCGGUUAGUGUAAAACUACAGAAGGACCUAGUGUAUGGUAUAAGACUAGACCCAGCAUUCAGUAUCACGCAGCUCGAGGAACAGACGCUGAAAAUUGUGAAAAACGUAAUCGGCGCAGGGAGGAUAAUUAAGAAACCCGGGCAAGAGCACCUGUACGUGCUAAUAAUAGACAAUAUGAAGGAGCUAAACGAACAAUUGAUACCCUUCAUAAACAAGCACGUUGGGCUACUACACUCAAAAAGAAGGCAAUACGAAAUAUUUAGAGAAAUUGUGAGUGCCCUGUACAGAGGUGAGCACAAAGACCCACUAAAGCUCAGGGAGCUCAUUCUAAAAGUGUAUGAAUUGUCAAACCUGAGCAGAAAAUCGCGCAGGAAAAGGGCCCUCAGAGAGGUACUUGAAAUAAUCGAAUCUCGUAUUGCCAAGCGGUGGGGCCUCCCGGGAGAAAGGUAGCCAAAUGCCUUGCCGGGUAAGUUCCGGCGCGCAUGAAUGGAUCAACGAGGUCCCCACUGUCCUGGCCCGGGGCCCCGUGAAGACACGGAGCCGGUGCACAGGCCGGCAACCCCCCGCAGGGCGAUAAGUCCCUGUGGAGCUUUACCGCAGCCUGGCGCUGACCUCUGGGCUGUGGUGCGUAGCGUAGGUGGGAGCUUGUGAAGCCACACCUCCGGGUGUGGCGGAGGCGCCAAUGAAACACCACCCACUACAGCCUGGGGGCCUCACCCCGGGGGAGACCCUGGGGGACAACGCCAGGUGGGCGGUUCGGCUGGGGCGGCACGCCCGCGAAAAGAUAACACGGGCGCCCAAAGGUCGGCUCAGGCGGGUCAGAGCUCCGCCGUAGAGUGCAAGGGCAAAAGCCGGCCUGACCGGACCCUUGAACACAAGGGGUCCGGCCGGGAAACCGUGGCCUAGCGAACGCUCGUGUCCCCCUCGGUGGGGGCCGGGCAUGACAGAAAAGUUACCCCAGGGAUAACAGGGUCGUCGCGGGCGAGAGCUCCCAUCGACCCCGCGGUUUGCUACAUCGAUGUCGGCUCUUCCCAUCCUGGGGGUGCAGCAGCCCCCAAGGGUGGGGCUGCCCGCCCAUUAAAGGGGAACGUGAGCUGGGUUUAGACCGUCGUGAGACAGGUCGGACUCUACCCGCGGGGGGCGCGGGCCGCCUGAGGGGAAGGUGCCCUCAGUACGAGAGGAACGGGGCGCCGCGGCCUCUAGUCUACCGGUUGUCCUGGCGGGCAACGCCGGGCAGCCACGCCGUGUGGGGUAACCGCUGAAAGCAUCUAAGCGGGAACCCCUCCCCGAGACGAGGCGGCCGUCCGUCACGGGGCCACCCGUGGCGGGUAGGGCUCCCGUAGAAGACGGGGUUGAUGGGGCGGGGGUGUGAGCCCCAAGGGUUCCCCCGAGGGGUUCAGCCCGCCGCUCCCAAAAGCCCGACGCCGUAGCUAC
rnacentral:rRNA from 1 species